AUUCAUUGUUGCUAUACACACACAGCACAAUUCAUUCGUUUGGCCAUUAGAAUUCCAGGGAAUUCUUUUUUCCCCAUUCAGAUAAUAACUACCUUUACAGGUUAUAUCAAAUUAAUUAAUUGGAUCAUGUGUUUUUAAUAUGAAGUUAUGGUUAUAUUUUAGUAAAUGUAUACAACAUGGUGAGUAGCCCCCAAGAAGAGCCAAAAUUAAGAUUGUAAUUCAUGUUGCUGAGAAAUCUAAAAGUAAUAAAUCAUAUUCGAAUUUUAUCUAUGACUUUUCUUGUAUGUUGUGUAUAAAAUGGAAAUUUGUUUAAUUUGAGUUUAUACACAACAUAUAUAUAUAUAUUGCUAGCUACUGGUUAUCCACUAACAGGUUAUUUUAUUAUCAAAUUCUCUAUUAUUCUGAUCAAGUAUAUUAGAGAAUAAAUAGUGGCUUACUUGAUGAAUAGACAGUGGUUUGUUUACAUCUUGCGCAUAUGCAAAUUUAGUAGAGAAGUAGGUAACACGUGACCAGAAUCAACCAAUGAGAGCCAAGUAAAUAUAAUAGAACAGUUAAAAUUGGAAUUGUGAAAGGGACAGCACGUGAAUUUAUACAAGCAUUACAUUUGUCGUUGAAUCGUACCCACCCACCAUCCCCAGGUCAUCACCAUAGGGUAGCGAUAUAUAUAGUCAUGUAUUUAAUAAAUCUUGAUCAGGUGUAAACAUGUAACUUUUAACAUAGAAUUGUAAUCAUAUAGUAAUUGAUUUUAUGUUUGAGGUCAUUGUUGGAUCUCUAUCUUAGUUUGAUGUUUUUGUUGCAUUAAACACAUGCAGUUAUAUGGGCUACUCACCACAUAUUAUGUUUGUGUUCAGGUUUAUUAUGUUUUGUUUCAACCUAUUCUAGUCACUAGUAGCUUGCGGCUUUAGUUUAUUUUGUUGUAGUUUUGUAGUAUAUAUAUGUAACCAUCCAGUUCCUUUACCCUGUUCCAGGGUUUAGUUAUUUAACCUGUUCCAGGUUACCUCCCUUAGUUGAGAUGUACCCUGUUCCAGGGCUUAGUUAUAUAACCUGUUCCAGGUUACCUCCCUUAGAGAUUUACCCUGUUCCAGGGCUGAGUUAUGUAACCUGUUCCAGGUUACCUCCCUUACUUGAGAUGUACCCUGUUCCAGGGCUUAGUUAUAUAACCUGUUCCAGGUUACCUUACUUAGUGGAGAUUUGCCUUGUUCCAGGGCUUAGUUACAUAACCUGUUCCAGGUUACCUCCCUUAGUUGAGAUGUACCCUGUUCCAGGGCUUAGUUAUGUAACCUGUUCCAGGUUACCUCCCUUAGUUGAGAUGUACCCUGUUCCAGGGCUUAGUUAUAUAACCUGUUCCAGGUUACCUUCCUUAGAGAUUUACCCUGUUCCAGGGCUUAGUUUAAUGUAACCUGUUCCAGGUUACCUUACUUAGUGGAGAUUUGCCUUGUUCAAUGGCCAUUAGAAUUCCAGGGAAUUCUUUUUCCCCAUGGCCAUUAGAAUUCCAGGGAAUUCUUUUUUCCCCAUUCAGAUAAUAACUACCUUUACAGGUUAUAUCAAAUUAAUUAAUUGGAUCAUGUGUUUUUAAUAUGAAGUUAUGGUUAUAUUUUAGUAAAUGUAUACAACAUGGUGAGUAGCCCCCAAGAAGAGCCAAAAUUAAGAUUGUAAUUCAUGUUGCUGAGAAAUCUAAAAGUAAUAAAUCAUAUUCGAAUUUUA